AAGCAGGUUAAGUUACAAUGUAGCUGUGAAGUGCUGUAUUGUCGUUCCCCCUGCUCAAAGCAAAUGUUUCAUACUAUCCCUGCCUGCCUUGAUCCCAUAGCAGAUGGGGACGCUUGGUCUCAUACAC
rnacentral:snoRNA from 1 species